AGAGUUUGAUCCUGGCUCAGGAUGAACGCUAGCGAUAGGCUUAACACAUGCAAGUCGAGGGGCAGCAUGAUCUUAGCUUGCUAAGGUCGAUGGCGACCGGCGCACGGGUGCGUAACGCGUAUGCAACUUGCCUUACAGAGGGGGAUAACCCGUUGAAAGACGGACUAAAACCGCAUACACUUGUAUUAUUGCAUGAUAUUACAAGGAAAUAUUUAUAGCUGUAAGAUAGGCAUGCGUCCCAUUAGCUUGUUGGUGAGGUAACGGCUCACCAAGGCGACGAUGGGUAGGGGAACUGAGAGGUUUAUCCCCCACACUGGUACUGAGACACGGACCAGACUCCUACGGGAGGCAGCAGUGAGGAAUAUUGGUCAAUGGGCGAGAGCCUGAACCAGCCAAGUCGCGUGAAGGAUGACGGCCCUAUGGGUUGUAAACUUCUUUUGCAGGGGAAUAAAGAUAUUCACGUGUGGGUAGUUGUAUGUACCCUGCGAAUAAGCAUCGGCUAACUCCGUGCCAGCAGCCGCGGUAAUACGGAGGAUGCGAGCGUUAUCCGGAUUUAUUGGGUUUAAAGGGUGCGUAGGUGGGCUAUUAAGUCAGUGGUGAAAGUUUGUCGCUCAACGAUAAAAUUGCCGUUGAAACUGGUGGUCUUGAGUAUGGAUGAAGUAGGCGGAAUGCGUGGUGUAGCGGUGAAAUGCAUAGAGAUCACGCAGAACUCCGAUUGCGAAGGCAGCUUACUAAGGCAUAACUGACACUGAAGCACGAAAGCGUGGGUAUCAAACAGGAUUAGAUACCCUGGUAGUCCACGCAGUAAACGAUGAUUACUAGGAGUUUGCGAUAUAGUGUAAGCUCUACAGCGAAAGCGUUAAGUAAUCCACCUGGGGAGUACGCCGGCAACGGUGAAACUCAAAGGAAUUGACGGGGGCCCGCACAAGCGGAGGAACAUGUGGUUUAAUUCGAUGAUACGCGAGGAACCUUACCCGGGAUUGAAAUGUAGAUGACGGAUGGUGAAAACCGUCUUCCCUUCGGGGCUUCUAUGUAGGUGCUGCAUGGUUGUCGUCAGCUCGUGCCGUGAGGUGUCGGCUUAAGUGCCAUAACGAGCGCAACCCCUGUCUACGGUUGCCAUCAGGUAAUGCUGGGAACUCCGUAGAGACUGCCGUCGUAAGGCGUGAGGAAGGUGGGGAUGACGUCAAAUCAGCACGGCCCUUACAUCCGGGGCGGCAGAACGGUCGCGGGAAUGGGGGUGGCCGGGCAGCGGCUGACCAUCGGUGCGGGGACGAUAGCGUUUGCGAAGCCGACUGCGCUCAACCUGAGCAGGAGCCGGAUAUCGCUGACUUCGGCGGUGACCACCGCGGGGAGAUGGAGGUCCUCCAUA
rnacentral:rRNA from 1 species